UUCUUGCAUUCUCCAUUUUCUUCACAUCGCACUUGCUCCACUAAUCCACUAUAAUGUCUUCCUCCUACUCAUUGUCCUCUUCCAGGAUGUCUGGUCUCCAGGCAGGUGGAGGUGGUGGUGGAGCCAGAUUAGGGCUGGGUGGUGCUGGAGGAAGCCUCGGCCUUGGUUUUGGCCUGGGAGGUGGUGCUGGUGCUGGGGCAGGGUUUGGUCUAGGUCUGGGCAGUGGACUUGGUCUGGGCAGUGGACUUGGCCUUGGCUCUGGAUAUGGUUUAGGCUCUGGAUAUGGUUUAGGCUCUGGAUAUGGUUUAGGCUCUGGAUAUGGAGCAGGACUGGGCUUGGGUGCAGGUGGUGCAGGAUACGCAAUGGGCGGUGGCGGAGGUGCUGGGGCACUAGUUGCAAGUCCGGCUUUUGCCAUGGGUCGCACUAUCGCAGCUGGUGGACUGACUGCAGGAUCUGCUCUGGCUGGUGGCCAUGCUAUGGGGGCAGUUGUGGCACCUAUGUGGUCUCGUGCAGCUGAGAAAAAUACGUUGUCCAGUCUGAACGACCGCUUCUCUGUGUACAUGGCCAAAGUGCGUUCACUGCAACAGGAGAAUGCUGCACUGGAGGCUAAGCUGUCCCAACUGACUGGUGGCACUGACAUGUCCCCAGAAUCGUCCAGCACCACUACAUUGGAAUAUGAGAACCAGCUGAAUGAGUAUCGCACCACACUGCAGAACCUAACCCUUGACACCCUCAAACUGGAGAUAGAGCUAGACAAUGUGCGUGGCACCGCCCAUGAGGUUAAGGCAAAGCUUGACUUUGAACAAGGGGUCAGGUUCCAGCUUGACUCUGACAUUGCUGCCAUGAAAAAGGACAUUGAAGCAGCAUCUGACCUCAGAGUUGAUUUGGAUGCCAAAUACUCCAGCCUUAAGAACGAGCUGGGCUUUGUCACCAAAACACAGGAAGAGGAGCUUGCUUCUCUGCAGUCCAAACUGGGCACAACGACCCUCGACACCUCUGUCUCUAUGAUUGAAGUGGACACUGGCAAGUCUUUUGACAUCUCUUCAGCGCUUAACAAGAUGCGAAUGGAGUAUGAGAAAUCUGUCCAGCAGAACAGAGAGGAAGCCGAAGCCUACUACAAACUCAAGAUGGAUGAAAUACAGACUGCUAACGCUAGGAGCUCAGAAGCAGUGUCAUCGACCAAAGCCGAAAUUACAGCAGCUAGGAAGGAGCUACAGGCACUCGGGUUAGAGUUGCAGGGUCUUAUGACACAAAACAUGUCCCUGGAGCAGAGCCUGGGAGAGGCUAAUGCCCAGUCCAGCGUUGGUGUGUCUGAGUACCAGGCCCAGAUCUCCAGCCUUACAUCCGCCAUCGAGGCAGCUAAAGCUGACCUUCACAAACAGAUUCUGGCCUACCAAGAGCUGCUCGACAUCAAACUCGCUCUAGAUGUGGAAAUCGCCACCUACAGAAAACUCCUAGAGGGAGAUGACUUCAAACUGCCAGAAUUUACAGAGUCCUCCUACACUUUCACAGGGAGUGCCCCGCCCAAAACCAGCACGCCCCAGGAUGUCUCUGUGGAAAUACACACUAGAUACAUCACCAAAGGAAAGAGGAUUGAGGAUGCAUCAAAGCCAUAAACAAAAAUGAGUAUGAGUACUUGUUUUUUAGCUGGUGGAGGUGGAAUUCAAGUCAAAGAGAUCAUCACAGAGCGCACAGAGACUUCAGUCAUCAGUGAUGCAGACACUGAAUCCUCUUAAAUGCCAAGGAAUUGCCUGAGAGUUUGAGUCAUGGCCAACAAACUCCUGUUAAAUUAGUUUUAAUAAAGCUGCAAUUAUAUAUAUA